rnacentral:rRNA from 1 species
UACAGAGGUCUCAAGCGUUUGUUCGGAUUCAUUGGGCGUAAAGGGUGCGUAGGUGGCGCCGUAAGUCUGGUGUGAAAUCUCGGGGCUCAACCCCGAAACUGCACUGGAUACUGCGGUGCUCGAGUACUGGAGAGGAGAUUGGAAUUUACGGUGUAGCAGUGAAAUGCGUAGAUAUCGUAAGGAAGACCAGUGGCGAAGGCGAAUCUCUGGACAGUUACUGACACUGAGGCACGAAGGCCAGGGGAGCAAACGGG